CCGCAACGAUUACCCGUCAACCUGGUCAGGUCCGGAAGGAAGCAGCCACAGCGGGAACAUCGUGUGCCGGGGUGUGGCUGGCGGGG
rnacentral:SRP_RNA from 1 species